rnacentral:lncRNA from 7 species
UAUCCACUGGCAGCUCGGGGGCUGAGUCAAGGAGCUCCUUGUCCAAAAGGCGUCGUGCUUACAGCCCAGUGGUGAAGCAAUGCUGGAAAACAUGAGAGAAGUGGGGCUUGCUAUUUCUCUGAGCUGCAGACAGGAGACUGAAUGCAGGGACUUUAGGGAAGAAGUCACUGGCAGAGCUUGAGUCUGCUUACAGGACCAGGCCGAAAGCACAAAUACAUCAGGACGCCACGUGAAGCAGCUCACAGCAAGAGGGGUGGGAAAGCAAGUGGUAGUCAUUGCUGUCUGUGUGCUGUGACCUGUUCAAGAGAAGACUUCCUUUGUGAAAAGGAUGGGAAUGGCCAUUUUGCAGAGCUGAGGAGGCUGGGCAGCUCAACAUCCACCUCGUGCUGCUGUCGUUCACUCUGCUCUACUGGAAGUCUGCAGGAGCCGUUGUCCCUGUGCUGCCAGGAGCUGGGAGCACCCACAGCAUUACACUUGGGAAAAGAAAAAGCAGAAGUGAAGAGAACGGUGACAAGGUGGAUUCAUUUGAAGGCAGCUGGGGUAUUUCUUCACACGUGUUUACUCUCUUGUCUCUCCCAUCUGCAAAAUAUCUGUGCACAGCCCUGUGCUGAUGGCCAGCCUUCCUGCACAGCCUCCUUUUAAGAAGGAAAAGAAGGGAGAGGCCCUUCUCUCGGUUUGAUGAACUUCCUGGUGCCAAAACUGUGGAGAAGCGGGAGGCAGAGGCGGCGCCCCAGCGGAGGCCGCGCAGACCCGGCGGGAAGCUCCGUCCCCUCAGCACCGCCGUGUUCGCGGCGCCCCGAGUAUGCGGAUGAGGAUCGCCCCGGCGGGGUUGUGCGACCGCCGCCCUGCGUCGGGGCGCCGGGCUGACCGCGGAGGGCUGCGGGGCGCUGACAGGCGGGGGCCGUGCCCGCUGACAGGACGGCCCGGCCCCGCCCUCAGGCGGCGGCGGGAGCGGCGGGAGGUGCGUGUUUACAUUCCGCC